rnacentral:snRNA from 8 species
AUACUUACCCUGGCAAGGGAGAUACCGUGAUCAAGAAGGCGGUUCACCCAGGGCGAGGCUCAGCCAUUGCACUCCGGCUGUGCUGACCCCUGCGAAUUUCCCAAAUGUGGAAAUCUCGAUUGCAUAAUUUAUGGUAGUGGGGGACUGCGUUCGCGCUCUCCCCUG